GCUGGGCAUGGUGGUGCAUGCCUGUAAUCCCAGCAGCUCAGGAGGCUGAGGAAGGAGAAUCACAAGUUCAAAGCCAGCCUCAGCAACAGCAAGGCACUAAGCAACUCCAGGAGACCCUGUCUUUA
rnacentral:sRNA from 1 species